UGAGACAAGAGGUUUUGGGGUGAAUUGAGAGGAGUUUGGGGUGAAAUGAGAGGGUUUUCGGGUGAAGUGAGAGCGGUUUUGGGUGAGAUGAGAGGGGUUUCGGGUGAGAUGAGAAGAUUUGGGGGUGAAAUGAGAGGGGUUUGGGGUGAAAUUAGAGGUUUUGGGGUGAAAUGAGAGGGGCUUGGGGUGAAAUGAGAAUUUGGGGUGAAAUUAAAGACUUUAGAAGAUUGUGGGGCUCACCGGACCCGUCCUGGGGCCCCCUUGGGCUGCCCUGAGGGGGCCCCGAGCCUCUGCCCCCCCCCCGGUCCGUGUGUCUGUCCGUCCUCUGCCCCCUCUGUUUGUCUUGGCCGCCCUCGGGCCCGCCUCGGUCACUGACAAAGUUCAGGGCCUUGGAAGGGAACCGGGGGGG
rnacentral:lncRNA from 1 species